CUUCAUUUAAUCCGAUGGGCUUUGACCGUGAAAAAAGAUUGGGCUGAUAUGUUCUUCUGGUUUAAGGGGCCCGACGGCCCGUAAUCGAAAACCCUAAGUUUGAUUACGCAAAAAUGGAGUUCGUCUCUACUCUUGCGCCUUCAUCGAGAACAUCGACAGAGGAAGCUAGGGGUUCGUCAUCUCCCCCAGAUCCGACCAUGUCAAACAAGCAUGGAUGUUCUGGAAGGAACCUCGAGUCAGAUCUUCAUAAUCAACUUUUGUGUCGUUCACAGUUCCCGUCGUUACGCUUGCUUUUGACCUCCUAUGAUCUGUUACGCAGCGGUGGAUCUUCACUUAUAAAAAGGGGAGACUUCACCUUAUGAAAAUCAUCCUCUCGGUUCCUAAUAUCAGCAAAACCUCAUCUUCUUCGAUCUCAUAGCUUAGCCUUUCUUGCUCGCUGAUUUGAAGGCCGCCGGUGUUCUUCCACUGUGGUGGUGUGACUUCAGCUUCUGGGAAGCGAGAAACGUGAAAGGAGGCGUCGAGCUAAUGGGCUUGGACAUGCUUAUCCUCGACUCGUCCGAUUUCUAAACUUAUUAUCAUCCUCGGUUUUGGACAGCAUUUAUACUCUUAUCAACAAUAUAUUAAUCCUUUCUGAUUGAUGGUGGUGAAUCCCUUUUUUGAUUAAUUAUUUUUUUUAAUGUUUCAAGCAACCCUCAUACCGCCACCGUCUCACUGCUUACCGGCAUCUUUUUAAGGCGGAUUUGAUGUAACUCGCUGCAAUCAGAAUUACAUGCUCUCUAACUCACCUCUACUGAUACGGUUCAGCGGUUCAACCGAAUUUGAAGAGAUACGGUUCUACCAAUUCCUAAAGAACGCUCAAGUUCCGUAAUCACAGUGAGGUACUUAGGCUGGCCAACAAGAACACACACCUUCCCGACCUUAUCUUCGAGCUCACAGCUGUGAAGAGUAUUGUGAGUGACCCUACACAAGGAAAACAUCGUGUCAUGACCGGAGGGCUCCAGCUGCUCCCAGUUAUGAUGAUGUUGCAAGAAGCAUAAACCUCAAGAUUGUUGGAGGUGCUCAGUCAUGUUAUGGCAACAAUUAAAAUCAACAGUGAUGUUUCUCUGACUUUGAGUUUGUUCCACUCGCAACUCUCAAGCUCUAUCGUUUCACAAGCACCUGGAAGGCUUCUGUGUUGAUCUAAUAGUUGUUGCAACAAGCAUAAACCCCCAAGAUUGUUGGAGAACAACAUAGACACCAAGAACAGACUUGGACAAUAGAAUGAACCGACUACAAGAGGAGCAGCUAAUUAGCAAAGAUGCACCAGAGUUGGAACCUACGCUUGCCGCAAAAUCAAACCUGCAGUUAUAACGAGGACUGAACCCGGUAGAGUAUGGCGAUCCCGAUGAUCAGUCCUUAAAGAUCCAGGUUGUCAAGAACAGCUCGUGCAGCCCGCCUAAUCCGUAGCCUCCACGAACAAACAGCAUCCUUCGCAACCGAGUGCACCCACUCACACCAAGUCGAGCUUUAUUUGGAGAAGAAACCACCAAGAGCCGCCACAGAUUACCGGACCUACAUCAAGAAAA